AAGUCGUAACAAGGUCUCCGUAGGUGAACCUGCGGAGGGAUCAUUACUGAGUUUUUAACUCUNCAAACCAUGUGAACUUACCACUGUUGCCUCGGUGGUCGGUGCUGGAAACAGUGCUGCCACCGGUGGACUACUAAACUCUUGUUAAUUUUUGUCAAAUCUGAAUCAAAACUAAGAAAUAAGUUAAAACUUUCAACAACGGAUCUCUUGGUUCUGGCAUCNAUGAAGAACGCANCGAAAUGCGAUAAGUAAUGUGAAUUGCAGAAUUCANUGAAUCAUCGAAUCUUUGAACGCACAUUGCGCCCAUUAGUAUUCUAGUGGGCAUGCCUGUUCGAGCGUCAUUUCAACCCUUAAGCCUAGCUUAGUGUUGGGAGACUGCCUAAUACGCAGCUCCUCAAAACCAGUGGCGGAGUCUGUUCGUGCUCUGAGCGUAGUAAUUUUUUAUCUCGCUUCUGCAAGCCGGCCAGACGACAGCCAUAAACCGCGCCCUCUCGGGGGGCACUUUUUUAAUGGUUGACCUCGGAUCAGGUAGGAAUACCCGCUGAACUUA
rnacentral:rRNA from 1 species